UACGUAGGGACCAAGCGUUGUUCGGAUUUACUGGGCGUAAAGGGCGCGUAGGCGGCCCGCUAAGUCGAACGUGAAAUCCCCAGGCUCAACCUGGGAACUGCGUCCGAUACUGGCAGGCUUGAAUCCGGGAGAGGGAUGUGGAAUUCCAGGUGUAGCGGUGAAAUGCGUAGAUAUCUGGAGGAACACCGGUGGCGAAGGCGGCAUCCUGGACCGGUAUUGACGCUGAGGCGCGAAAGCUAGGGGAGCAAACGGG
rnacentral:rRNA from 1 species